CCCUUAGAUGUCCGGGGCCGCACGCGCGCUACACUGAAGGAAUCAGCGUGGCUUUCUCCCUGACCCGAAAGGGAUGGGAAACCCGUUGAAUCUCCUUCGUGAUAGGGAUUGGGGCUUGAAAUUGUUCCCCAUGAACGAGGAAUUCCCAGUAAGCGCGAGUCAUAAGCUCGCGUUGAUUACGUCCCUGCCCUUUGUACACACCGCCCGUCGCUACUACCGAUUGAACGGUUUAGUGAGGGCCUCGGAUUGGUCUCGGCCCGCUCUUUACCGGGCGGCGCCGUUGGUCGAGAAGACGCUCGAACUUGAUCGUUUAGAGGAAGUAAAAGUCGUAACA
rnacentral:rRNA from 1 species